UCCUCCGUGGCGCAAUUGGCUAGCGCGUCUGACUGUUACCCUCGAUUCGAGAUGCAAUCAGGAGGUUCGUGGUUCGAGCCCACGCGGGGGAG